UGGUCUACUCGUAGCCGAUCUCAUCAGAAACGAUCGGCGCUUCAAAAUCGUCGAAAACACUGUCGAACUGCUUGCGGACGAUAGCCAUUCGCGUUUACUGAAAGACCUCGAUUUCGUGGUCGUAGAUGUUGAGGCCACUGGAGCUAAGACACCUCCCAACCGGCUUAUCGAACUCGGC
rnacentral:misc_RNA from 1 species